CUGUGCUCCUGCGGGACCGACCGUGCCGCGCCCGCUGCGGCUCCUCGGGCCCCGCCUCUGGGGCGUGCAGGGCCCCGAGGGGACGAGACACCGCCCGGCCUCCCGCUCGGCGACCAGGAGAGAGGGCAGCCGUGUCACCGUGUUUCCCAAGGAGCCAACAGUGGAGGCUGCCAGAGAGGAAAGGCCCUCCAUUUGUGCGCUGGUGGUUGUGACUCGAUCUCUCGCCUGGCUCCUUCAGCUCUGCGGUUUGGCACCGCCUCGGCGCUAUAGCAUUAUACACAGGAUGUUCACAGAAGAUGCUUGUUCAUUAUCCCCAUCCUGCCUGCACUUUGGCUCCCCUGGAAUUCUCUGC
rnacentral:lncRNA from 1 species